rnacentral:rRNA from 1 species
AUUGAACGCUGGCGGCAGGCCUAACACAUGCAAGUCGAACGGUAACAGGAAUCAGCUUGCUGAUUCGCUGACGAGUGGCGGACGGGUGAGUAAUGUCUGGGAAACUGCCUGAUGGAGGGGGAUAACUACUGGAAACGGUAGCUAAUACCGCAUAACGUCGCAAGACCAAAGAGGGGGACCUUCGGGCCUCUUGCCAUCGGCUGUGCCCAGAUGGGAUUAGCUAGUAGGUGGGGUAACGGCUCACCUAGGCGACGAUCCCUAGCUGGUCUGAGAGGAUGACCAGCCACACUGGAACUGAGACACGGUCCAGACUCCUACGGGAGGCAGCAGUGGGGAAUAUUGCACAAUGGGCGCAAGCCUGAUGCAGCCAUGCCGCGUGUAUGAAGAAGGCCUUCGGGUUGUAAAGUACUUUCAGCGAGGAGGAAGGUGUUGUGGUUAAUAACCACAGCAAUUGACGUUACUCGCAGAAGAAGCACCGGCUAACUCCGUGCCAGCCGCCGCUGUAA